UGGGGAAUAUUGCGCAAUGGGGGCAACCCUGACGCAGCCAUGCCGCGUGUGUGAAGAAGGCCUUCGGGUUGUAAAGCACUUUCAAUGGGGAAGAAAAGCGUACUGUUAAUCGCGGUGCGCCGUGACGUUACCCAUAGAAGACGCACCGGCUAACUCCGUGCCAGCAGCCGCGGUAAUACGGAGGGUGCGAGCGUUAAUCGGAAUUACUGGGCGUAAAGCGCGCGUAGGCGGUUUGUUAAGUCAGCUGUGAAAGCCCCGGGCUCAACCUGGGAACUGCAGUUGAUACUGGCCGACUAGAGUACGAGAGAGGGAGGUAGAAUUCCAUGUGUAGCGGUGAAAUGCGUAGAUAUAUGGAGGAAUACCGGUGGCGAAGGCGGCCUCCUGGCUCGAUACUGACGCUGAGGUGCGAAAGCGUGGGGAUCAA
rnacentral:rRNA from 1 species